GUGAGGAAUUUUCCGCAAUGGGCGAAAGCCUGACGGAGCAAUGCCGCGUGAAGGAUGAAGGCCUAUGGGUUGUAAACUUCUUUUCUCAGAAAAGAAUUAUGACGGUAUCUGAGGAAUAAGCAUCGGCUAACUCUGUGCCAGCAGCCGCGGUAAGACAGAGGAUGCAAGCGUUAUCCGGAAUGAUUGGGCGUGAAGCGUCUGUAGGUUGUUUAAAAAGUAUUCUGUCAAAGAUUAGGGCUUAACCCUAGAUAGGCAGAAUAAACUUUUAAGCUAGAGUUUGGUAGAGGCAGAGGGAAUUCCCGGUGGAGCGGUGAAAUGCGUAGAUAUCGGGAGGAACACCAAAGGCGAAGGCACUCUGCUGGGCCAAUACUAACACUGAGAGACGAAAGCGAGGGGAGCAAAUGGGAUUAGAAACCCCGGUAGUCC
rnacentral:rRNA from 1 species